rnacentral:rRNA from 1 species
AUGUCGCCUCUGUCAGAGCCGGCAGCAACUUUAGCUGCACCUUCCCCGAUGUCAUCUCGUGCUCGCCUUCGACCCGAUUCGUCGCCGCCGCCAUCCUUCGCGCCUCCACGCGGUUCCCCUCGCCGCACCUCUCCGAGCAGGAGCUCCGCCUCCCCUGCUCCGCGCCAACCCGUGCCGAGCGCCGCUCUCCUCGCACCCAUCCGCCCUGCUAGCGUGCUUAGCUCCCGCCCCGACCUCCGCGACCAGCGCCUCCACUACCUCCUCGUCGUGGCUCUGCCUCCACUAGCAGCCUCCUGCUGCCUGUCAUCUCCAUGGCCUUGA